AGUGCUUUUCAUUACGAUAAUUACAACGAUUAUUUAAUUUGGCUAGAUACGAGUAUAAACAAGAUAUAUUGGGCAGAAUUUCGGGCAAGCUUAAGAAUUAAGGGUGAAUUGGCAAUCAUUAAGCGCCAAGUAUCUAUUAAUGGGUCACAUAAAAUUCAUAGAUUUGUUUAUGAUUGGGAGAAGAACGUUUUAAUUUGGGUUGAUGACUAUGGAAUCAGAUCAGCAAAACUGAAUGAAGGAUCUCUCAUGAAUCCAAAUAAACUUUACCGCAAUUUGGAUCCUUCUUAUAAUAGACUUGGAUCUAUCACUAUCGAUGUGGAGAAACGUUACAUCUUUUGGACAAAUAUUGGUGUCGAUCCAAACAGACCUUUUGAUUUUCCUGUGUACAUCGAGCGAAUCGAUAUAAUAGAUGAUGAACCGGAAGCCGAAAAAAUAGUUGAAACGAACAUCUUGCGUCCAGUUGGUUUAGCCAUUGAUACUAGAAACUCCAGAGUCUAUUGGAUUGAUGGUUUAUAGGUACAUUGGAGUCGGUCGGAUAUGAUGGAACCAAUCGUAUUACUUUAUCUGAAUCUUUGCCCUUCAUAGAUGAACUUAUAUCAAUGGACAUAUUUUCAAAUUAUUUGUACUUCACUGAUAAGGCAAACAGUACAAUCCAACGCAUCAAUAUAAACAAUACAGUCAAAAAAGUUGAUACAUUGAUAUCUGUACCUAAUGGGCCACCUACAUGGGUUAAAAUAAUUGAACCGAGAGUAAAAUUGUAGACCAGUUUUCCUCGAUUGAGAAGUAUCGACAAUCUAGAAUGUGCCCUAAUUUCCUCUAUUCAAUGGCCUUUCUCUCUCCUGUUCAAAGGGAUUUGAUUCAUGUAUGCAAGAGAACAAUUAAAAAUAAAAUUUUUUGUUCAAAUGAAUUGAUCAUUGCAAGAGAUAUGGACGAAUCAUAUUUAAAGAAAAAUGAAAUUAAUAAGAUAAACUUAUCCCAGACGAAAACAUUGAGGAGUGAUUCUGGU